CCAGAAGUAAGCCUAAUUGAAGACAAUGGUACUUACUUCUGAGUAGACAUGCAUAGGAUUGGGUUGUAAAUAUGAUCUUGAGACUCAACAUUCCAUACAGGUGGUGUCAGCAAUGGAACUUUGGAGGAAAAAAAGGAAUAUGGAGAAGAAAUGAAAGGAUAAAACUGGAACAACUUUAGUAAAAAUAAGUUUUUAUAUAUGAAUAAGACUUAUGUAAAAAGCAUUUAAAUAUAAAUUAGUCUACCAGCAUAAUGUAUGGAAAUGACGUACGAAAAAACAGUGAAGAAACCUUCCUUAAAACGCAAGAAUUAUUAUGUCAGAAAAUGCUGCAGAACUGUCAGGGGCACUAUGUAUGAAAAAGAUAUUACGAGAAAUGAUAAAAUGAAGGAGGCUAUGGAGAGAAACGUCUUCAAAUGACAGGAAGAAAAAGUAAGAUUAAA